rnacentral:snRNA from 1 species
AGUUGCGAGGUAAGCACAUAGCGAACUAUUCUUUCGCCUUUUACUAAAGAAUACCGUGUGCUUGCCGCUUUUCAAGCAGCAUACGCCUCUUUUUGGAGGGUUUUUUUCUCUUUAGGAAUU